GGUCAAGUUAUUAAGGGUGCAGGGCGGAUGCCUUGGCACUAGGAGCCGAUGAAGGACGUGAUAAGCUGCGAUAAGCUUCGGGGAGUUGCACGUAAACUUUGAUCCGAAGAUUUCCGAAUGAGGAAACUCACUUAGAGUAAUGUCUAAGUAUCAUUAAGUGAAUACAUAGCUUAAUGAGGGGAACUCAGGGAACUGAAACAUCUAAGUACCUGAAGGAAGAGAAAGAAAUUCGAUUCCGUAAGUAGCGGCGAGCGAACGCGGAUUAGCCCAAACCAAUAAAGUUUUCUUUAUUGGGGUUGCGGACAUAUCAUAACGAAGAGGUAUCGUAAUUGAAGAGGUUUGGAAAGACUCACCACAGAAGGUAAUAGUCCUGUAUGUUAAACGAGAAGACUUCAGAUAUGAUCCAGAGUACCACGGGACACGUGAAACCCUGUGGGAAGCAGGAGGGACCACCCUCCAAGGCUAAAUACUACCUAGUGACCGAUAGCGUAUAGUACCGUGAGGGAAAGGUGAAAAGAACCCCGGGAGGGGAGUGAAAUAGAACCUGAAACCCUGCACUUACAAGCUGUGGAAGCACAUUUCUUGUGUGACCGCGUACUUUUUGUAGAACGGGCCAACGAGUUACGUUAAGUAGCAAGGUUAAGCACUUAAGGUGCGGAGCCGUAGCGAAAGCGAGUUUUAACUGAGCGUUCAGUUACUUGACGUAGACCCGAAACCGGGCGACCUACCCAUGAGCAGGAUGAAGCGAAAGUAAAAUUUCGUGGAGGUCCGAACCCACGAGCGUUGAAAAGCUCGGGGAUGACUUGUGGGUAGCGGUGAAAUUCCAAUCGAGCCCGGAGAUAGCUGGUUCUCCCCGAAAUAGCUUUAGGGCUAGCCUCAAGGUGAGAGAUACGGAGGUAGAGCACUGAAUGUCCUAGGGGGUAUUGCACCUACCGAAGACUAUCAAACUCCGAAUGCCGUCAUCUUAUACUUGGGAGUCAGACUGUGGGUGAUAAGAUUCAUAGUCGAAAGGGCAACAGCCCAGAUCGUCAGCUAAGGUCCCUAAAUGUAAGUUAAGUGGUAAAGGAUGUGGGAUUGCACAGACAACCAGGAUGUUGGCUUAGAAGCAGCCACUCAUUCAAAGAGUGCGUAAUAGCUCACUGGUCGAGUGAUCCUGCGCCGAAGAUUUCCGGGGCUAAAACUUACUACCGAAGCUACGGCAUCAGUAAUGAUGGGUAGGGGAGCUUCCCAUACGGGUUGAAGCAUGACCGUAAGGACAUGUGGACAGUAUGGGAGUGAGAAUGUUGGCAUGAGUAGCGAGAUGUGGGUGAGAAUCCCACAGGCCGUAAACCCAAGGUUUCCAGGGGAAGGUUCGUCCGCCCUGGGUUAGUCGGGACCUAAGCUGAGGCCGAAAGGCGUAGGUGAUGGACAACAGGUUGAUAUUCCUGUACUACCGAUAACCGUUUGAGAGAAGGGAUGACACAGUAGGAUAAGCUAAGCACACUGUUGGUUAUGUGUGCCCAAGCAUUGAGGCAGUCAAAGUAGGCAAAUCCGCUUUGAUAAUGCUGGGAUGUGAUGGGGAGCGAAAUUUAGUAGCGAAGUAGCUGAUUUCACACUGUCAAGAAAAGUCUCUAUCGAGGUUAAAGGUACCCGUACCGCAAACCGACACAGGUGGGUGAGGAGAGUAUCCUAAGGCCAGCGAGAGAACUGUUGUUAAGGAACUCGGCAAAAUGACCCCGUAACUUAGGGAUAAGGGGUGCCACCAUCAGGUGGCCGCAGAGAAUAGGCCCAAGCGACUGUUUACCAAAAACAUAGGUUUCUGCUAAGUCGCAAGACGAUGUAUAGGAGCUGACGCCUGCCCGGUGCUGGAAGGUUAAGGGGAUCUGUUAGAGUAAUCGAAGCAGUGAACUUAAGCCCCAGUAAACGGCGGCCGUAACUAUAACGGUCCUAAGGUAGCGAAAUUCCUUGUCGGGUAAGUUCCGACCCGCACGAAAGGCGUAACGAUUUGGGCACUGUCUCAACAACAGACUCGGUGAAAUUGUAAUUCCGGUGAAGAUGCCGGAUACCUGCGACAGGACGGAAAGACCCCAUGGAGCUUUACUGUAGCUUGACAUUGGGUCUUGGUACUACAUGUACAGGAUAGGUGGGAGGCUUUGAAACCAGGACGCCAGUUUUGGCGGAGCCAUCCUUGGGAUACCACCCUUGUAGUACUGGGACUCUAACCAUAGGCCAUGAAUCUGGUCUUGGGACACUGUCAGGUGGGCAGUUUGACUGGGGCGGUCGCCUCCCAAAAGGUAACGGAGGCGCUCAAAGGUUCUCUCAGUACGGUCGGAAAUCGUACGUAGAGUGUAAAGGCAAAAGAGAGCUUGAUUGCAAGACAUACAGGUCGAGCAAGGAUGAAAAUCGGACUUAGUGAUCCGGUGGUUCUGCGUGGAAGGGCCAUCGCUCAACGGAUAAAAGCUACCCUGGGGAUAACAGGCUUAUCUCCCCCAAGAGUCCACAUCGACGGGGAGGUUUGGCACCUCGAUGUCGGCUCAUCACAUCCUGGGGCUGUAGUAGGUCCCAAGGGUUGGGCUGUUCGCCCAUUAAAGUGGUACGCGAGCUGGGUUCAGAACGUCGUGAGACAGUUCGGUCCCUAUCCGUCGCAGGCGUAGGAAAUUUGAGAAGACCUGUCCUUAGUACGAGAGGACCGGGAUGGACGUACCUCUGGUGUACCAGUUGUCCUGCCAAGGGCAUGGCUGGGUAGCUAUGUACGGAAUGGAUAAGCGCUGAAAGCAUCUAAGCGCGAAGCCAACUUCAAGAUAAGAUUUCCCACCGCAAGGGUAAGACCCCAGAAAGACUAUCUGGUUGAUAGGUCGAAGGUGUAAGUGCAGCAAUGUAUUUAGCUUAUCGAUACUAAUAGGUCGAGGACUUGACCAAUAUUUAUUUGAUGUUCAUUGAUUAAGAUAUAUGUGUAGUUUUUAGAGUGUUAACU
rnacentral:rRNA from 2 species